rnacentral:rRNA from 1 species
GUGAGGAAUAUUGGUCAAUGGGCGGGAGCCUGAACCAGCCAAGUCGCGUGAAGGAAGAAGGAUCUAUGGUUCGUAAACUUCUUUUGCAGGGGAAUAAAGUGCGGGACGUGUCCUGUUUUGUAUGUACCCUGAGAAUAAGGAUCGGCUAACUCCGUGCCAGCAGCCGCGGUAAUACGGAGGAUCCGAGCGUUAUCCGGAUUUAUUGGGUUUAAAGGGUGCGUAGGCGGACUAUUAAGUCAGUGGUGAAAUCCUGCAGCUUAACUGCAGAACUGCCAUUGAUACUGAUAGCCUUGAGUUUGGUUAAGGUAGGCGGAAUGUGUAAUGUAGCGGUGAAAUGCUUAGAUAUUACACAGAACACCAAUUGCGUAGGCAGCUUACUGAGCCGACACUGACGCUGAGGCACGAAAGCGUGGGGAUCGAACAGGAUUAGAUACCCUUGUAGUCC